CUGCUCACUUGGCAACACAUAUACUAAAGUUGGAACGAUAUAGAGAAGAUUAGCAUGGCCUCUGCACAAGGGUGACACACAAAUUUGUGAAGCAUUCCGUAUUUUU